rnacentral:lncRNA from 10 species
UUUUAAUAUCAACACUACUGAUUUCAUUAGGAAAGUAUUAGGAAGCUGUAGUGCUACUGGUGUUAAAGUCAAGUUUUCCAAAAUUCCAAUUUUCACUUGAUUCAUGGUAAGGUUCUGGCAGUUUUACCCAUCACUGCUUUUACUCCAUCAAUAAAACUCUCAAUACAGCGAAAAAGGCGAAUAAUAUCUUAGUAUUAUAAGUUUUGACCUUAUGUUAUGUACACCUUGAAAUUGUCCUGGGGAGACUCUCAGGGGUCUGUGACCCACCAUGAGCACCACUGACCUAAUUAAUAAUAGACCUAGGCAAUGACUAUCAAAAAGACAACCAGGCAUGUGUUUCCUAACAGAAUUAUAUACCCCCACCAAUGAAGCAUUCUUACCAAAAAUUCAAUACUGAAUCUGAUCAAGCCUUUAGACCUAACUAACCACUAGUUUAUGACAUAUGCAGGAAACAAUCAGCAAAAUCUCAAAUGUAGUAAACUUUUCAGGACAAGUAAGUUGGUUCUUUAAAACAUAAGCAGGGGGCAAAGAUGAGACAGAGAACCUACAUACUAAGAGACUUUAAAAACAAGCAAUUGUUGGCUGGGUUCAAUGGCUCACGCCUAUAAUCCCAGCACUUUGGGAGGUGAAGGCGGAAGCAGGUGGAUCACUUGAGGUCAGGAGUUCGAGACCAGCCUGGCCAACAUGGUGAAACACCGUCCCUACUAAAAAUACAAAAAUUAGCCUGGUGUGGCAGCAUGUGCCUGUAGACCCAGCUACUUCGGAGGCUGAGGCAGGAGAAUCAUUUGAACCUGGAAGCGAAGGUUAUCACUCCACUGUACUUCAGCCUGGGCAACAGAGCAAGACUCUGCCUCCAAUAAAAACAAAACAAAACUAGCAAGGAACUGCAAUGUAUGGACCUUCUGUGUCCUAAUUAAAUUACUUAAAACAAAUUUUUUUUAGAGCAAUGAUUACAUAUUUGACAAUAUUUUUGGUUAAACUUUCAGGUGUAAUAAUGUUAUAGUUCUUAAUCUUUAAGAAACAUAUACUGACAUAAUUAAAAUGAAAGAAAAAUUCUGUAAUGCAGGAUUACACAGAAAUUCCAAGGGAAAUACAAGGAGAGAGCCUAAUGUUGGUUUGGACAGCACAAGAAGAAAGUGCUCUGUUCACUGGUGCUAUUUACUGUUAGCCUGAAGUGUGUGGCUUUUCUGAAGAAUAACCACAUCCUCUCCCAUCUUCAUGCCCACCAAUGUGGAAUCAUGGGCCCCAGGAAUGGAAAUCUGCUUUAAGGAGUUUCCAAAGAAGUUAGAAAAUCAUAUUCUAGAGAGGACCAGAGCCUUAGCCUGGAAUUUUCCUAAGAAAAAGCUCACAGAUCAUUUGGGACCUUUAAAUACAGAUGCCUUGUUGAAACCCAGCUAGGAAGCAAUAAGAUCAGAUAUGGUAAAUAAGGAGAAAUUCAAAAAUCCCUGUUGUGUAGACACAUCAUUUUCUGUAAAUAAUUACUUGAUCUUUCUUUCAAGUGGUAAAUAGCCAUUUAUUGAGUAUUCUUGCUUUGAUUGUCUACGUAAGCAUGUAAGACUACAACAUUACGACCCAUCUCUUCAAGAGGAAGUCUGGUAUUAUGGAAAAACAUUUUGUCAUUCAGAUUUUUUUUUCUUACAGUAUGCCCAUCACAAACCAGGCAGCAAGCAAGGUAUUGGGUGCUACUCAAUCCAGUGAAGUCUUGAGGGUCCCUUCCCUCUGUGAAGCAUAUAAUCUAGUGGGGUAGACUGCUAGCUACUAACUAUGAAAACAACAUAGUCUGACUUGAGAGUGGGGAAAGUGGAACAAGGGAGUAAUUUUUAUAUUUUUCUUCACAUUUAAAAAUAUUUUCUAAACAAUCCAAUAUAAUCUUUUCUAUAAUUUCCAAUACAAUCAACAUGUAUUACUUGUAAAAUAAUAGCAUACAUAUAUCGACAGACUGAAGAAGGUAUACUAUUAGAGAACAUUUGCAGAAAAGAAUUCCACAUCUUUUUUUUGAGACAGAGUUCUGCUGUCACCCAGGCUGGAGUGCAGUGGCAGCAAUCUAGGCUCACUGCAACCUCCACCUCUUGGGUUCAAGCAAUUCUCCUGCCUCAGCCUCCUGAGUAGCUGGGCCUACAGGCACGCGCCACCACACCCAGAGUUGGCCAGGCUGGUCUUGAACUCCUGACCUCAGAUGAUCCACCCACCUUGGCCUCCCAAAGUGAUGGAAUUACAGGCGUGAGCCACUGCACCUGGCCGAGAAUUCCACAUUUUAAGAAUAUGGUAAAAGAGUUUUAUUCUCUUCAGUAAGAUGAGGUUGAGAAUAAAAAAUUAAAAAGAUUAAGCAAAUGACACUUUCACAUCAUAGGGUAGUAAUAAUGAACUUUAAUAAUCUUAAAAAAAUACUUAUUGGGGAUAAGAAAUGUGGUUUACAAGUAAACUGUUACUUUCUAGACUUAACCCAAGAAGUUAAUGGAGUAGGUGUGUUUCAGUAAAGUAACAGGAAAUGGUACAGAAACCACCAAUGGUCAUCAUGCUUGAGAGUCAAUACAGCACAUAAUUCACAGCACAGAUGAGGCUGGGUGCAGCAAUUCAUGCCUGCAAUUCUACCACUUUGGGAAGCUCAGGCGAGAGGAUCACUUGAGCCCAGGAAUUUGAGACCAGCGUGGGCAACAAGGCUAGACCCCAUCUCUACAAAAUAUAUAUUUAAAAUUAGUUGGGUGUUACCCAGGCAUGGUGGCUCACACCUAUAAUCCCAGUACUUUGGGUAGCCGGGGGAGGUGGAUCACUUGAGGUCAGGAGUUUGAGAUCAGCCUGGCCAACAAGGUGAAACCUUGUCUCUACGAAAAAUACAAAAAUCAGCCAGGCAUUAUGGUGGGUACCUGUAAUCUCAGCUACUUUGGAGGCUGAAGCACGAGAAUUGCUUGAUCUUGGGAGGCAGAGGUUGCAGUGAGCCAAGAUUGUGCCACUGUACUCCGGCCUGGGCAACAGAGUGAGACUUCAACUCAAAAAAACAAAAAUAAAUAAAAAUGAAAAAUAAAAAAAUAUAUAUAUAAAAUUAGGUACGUGUGGUGGUGCAUGCCUGUGGUUCCACCUAAUCAAGAGGCAGUGGCAGGAGGAUUGCUUGAGCCCAGGAGUUUACGGCUGCAGUGAGCUAUGAUCACGCUACUACACUCCAGCCUGGGCAACAGAGCAAGAGGUUGUCUUUUUUUUUUUUUUCUUUCUGAGACAGGAUCUCACUCUGUUGCCCAGGUUGGAAAGCAGUGGCAUGAUCUCAGCUCACUGCUGCCUCAGUCUCCCAGGCUCAAGUGAUCCUCCCACCUCAGUCUCCCAAGUAGCUGGAACUACAGGUGCACACCAUCACAUCCAGUUAUUUUUUUUUUUUUGACGGAGUCUCGCACUGUUGCCCAGGCUGGAGCGCAAUGGCACGAUCUCAGCUCACUGCAACCUCCACCUCCCAGGUUCAAGCAAUUCUCCUGCCUCAGACUCCUGAGUAGCUGGGAUUACAGGCACUCACCGCCAUGCCCAGCUGGCCUAAUUUUUGUAUUUUUUUUUUUAGCAGAGAUAGGAUUUUGCCAUGUUGCCCAGGCUGGUCUCAAACUCCUGAGCCCAAGUGAUCCACCUGCCUUGGCCUCCCGAAGUGCUGGGAUUACAGGCAUGAGCCACCAUGCCCCACCAAGACAAACAAAACAAAACAAAACAAAACAAAACAAAACAAAAACAGUAUAGAUGAAAGGCAGCCAGCCUGGGUUCAAAUCCUACCGUUGCUACUUAUUAUUAAAUAAACGUAAGAAUCUUAUGGACGUUACUUUACCUCUCUAGCACCUUGACUUUCAAAUCUGCAAAACAGGAUAAUAACACCUAUUUCUUUAUAACAUUGUUAUAAGGAUUAAGUAGGUUAAUAUAUGUGAAAUACUUAGAGUAAUGUCUGGUACACAGUAGGCACUAAAUAAGUGUUAGCAGCCAGGUGCGGUGGCUCACAAGGUCAGGAGUUUGUGACCACACUGGCCAACAUAGUGAAACCCUGUCUCUACUAAAAAUAUAAAAAUUAGCUGGGCAUGGUGGCGUGUGCCUGUAGUCCCAGCUACUCGGGAGGCUGAGGCAGGAGAAUCACUUAAACCCGGAAGGCGGCGGUUGUGGUGAGCUGAGAUCGCACCACUGCACUCCAGCCCAAGCAACAGAGCGAGACUCCGUCUCAAAAAAAAAAAAAAAAAAAAAAGUAUAGCUACUAUUAUAAUCCUGUGAAAAUAAUCAAUAUAAAAUUAAAAAUCAACAGACAGCCCAUAUUGCCCUUUUUUGGCCUAACAAAAAACAGAUUUCUAAGAAGACAGUAAGAAAUCAGUAUUAAUUUAAACAUUGUACAGGACAGGAGAUCAAAAGCACAGGUAUACAAAUGGUUCAUUUAAAAAAACUGAUACUCAAAUUGACACCCUGAAAAUGUCAGAUAAUUUUUCAGAAUGAUUAAACUCACUAAACAUCUGUAAACAAUAAAUUUAUUUCAUUUCUUUUAAAGAUUUAAUGAUAUACAAAACGUAUAUAGUAUCUUUAAGUAAUACACUUUUUCUUUCUCCC